AAGUUUCAACAACGGAUCUCUUGGCUCUCGCAUCGAUGAAGAACGCAGCGAAAUGCGAUAAGUAAUGUGAAUUGCAGAAUUCAGUGAAUCAUCGAAUCUUUGAACGCACCUUGCGCUCCUUGGUAUUCCUUGGAGCAUGCCUGUUUGAGUAUCAUGAAAUUAUCAAAGCAAAGUCUUUUUUUUUGUUGUUGUUAAUUCAACUUAAAGUCUGCGCUUUGGAUUUGGAGGUUUUGCAGAUUUAAAUUUCUGCUCCUCUUAAAUGCAUUAGCUGGAUCUCUAUGAACUUGGUUCCACUCGGCGUGAUAAGUUAUCACUCGUCGAGGACACCCGUAAAAAAGGUGGCCAGGAUUUUUCAAGGAUGAGCCGCUUCUAAAUAGUCCAUUGACUUGGACAAAAUUUAUGAUCUGAUCUCAAAUCAGGUAGGACUACCCGCUGAACUUAAGCAUAUCAAUAAGCGGAGGA
rnacentral:rRNA from 1 species